CUUGGCUCGCCGGAACUGGCCUUCGCCGAGAGUCCGGUCACGAUCCAAAGCACAUAGAACAAUCUCUAACAGCUUGUGCCAUUGGCGCAUCUGCUCAAUCCCGUCGCGGAUGGCAUUACAGACGUCGAGGCCCUUGACGCUGCGCUCGAAGUAGUCGGAGAGGAGGCGGUCGACGGUGGGCUUGGAGAGGUGGGACUUGGGGGUGGAGAGGAUGAGGAGCUUGAACUGGUGGUGGAUGCGGAGGAAAGAGUCGAGGAGGUCGCGGAGCCAUGAAAGAGAGAGGAGGUCGUGCGAGGAGGAGGAGAGCUGUUGGAAGCAAUCGGACACGUGGCUCU
rnacentral:lncRNA from 1 species